UUUCCGUAGGUGAACUGCGGAAGGACAUUG
rnacentral:rRNA from 1 species